rnacentral:rRNA from 1 species
AACGAACGCUGGCGGCGUGCCUAACACAUGCAAGUCGAACGAGAAAGGGGCUUCGGCUCCGAGUAAAGUGGCGCACGGGUGAGUAACACGUGGGUAACCUGCCUCUAAGAUUGGGAUAACUCGUCGAAAGAUGAGCUAAUACCGAAUAAGACCACAGUUCCCGCGGGAACAGGGGUCAAAGGUAGCCUCUGCUUGCAAGCUAUCACUUAGAGAUGGGCCUGCGCACCAUUAGCUAGUUGGUAGGGUAACGGCCUACCAAGGCAAAGAUGGUUAGCUGGUCUGAGAGGAUGAUCAGCCACACUGGAACUGGGACACGGUCCAGACUCCUACGGGAGGCAGCAGUGGGGAAUAUUGCGCAAUGGGCGAAAGCUUGACGCAGCAACGCCGCGUGAGUGAUGAAGGCCUUCGGGUCGUAAAGCUCUGUCGGGAGGAACGAAUGCUCCUGAGGUUAACAGCCUCGGGAGGUGACGGUACCUUCAAAGGAAGCACCGGCUAACUCUGUG